CUCUUACGGGAGGCAGCAGUGGGGAAUAUUGGACAAUGGAGGAGACUCUGAUCCAGCAAUUCUGUGUGCACGAAGACGGUUUUCGGAUUGUAAAGUGCUUUCAGCAGGGAAGAAGAAAGUGACGGUACCUGCAGAAGAAGCGACGGCUAAAUACGUGCCAGCAGCCGCGGUAAUACGUAUGUCGCGAGCGUUAUCCGGAAUUAUUGGGCAUAAAGGGCAUCUAGGCGGAUAUACAAGUCAGGGGUGAAAACUUAGGGCUCAACUCAAAGCUUGCCUUUGAAACUGUAUAUCUAGAGUGCUGGAGAGGUGGACGGAACUACACGAGUAGAGGUGAAAUUCGUAGAUAUGUGUAGGAAUGCCGAUGAUGAAGAUAGUCCACUGGACAGCAACUGACGCUGAAGUGCGAAAGCUAGGGGAGCAAACAGGAUUAGAUACCCUGGUAGUC
rnacentral:rRNA from 1 species